GGUUAGGUCUGACCAGAGGACAGUUGUAGUGUGGUGAGGUCUGACCAGAGGACAGUUGUAGUGUGGUGAGGUCUGACCAGAGGACAGUUGUAGUGUGGUGAGGUCUGACCAGAGGACAGUUGUAGUGUGGUGAGGUCUGACCAGAGGACAGUUGUAGUGUGGUUAGGUCUGACCAGAGGACAGUUGUAGUGUGGUUAGGUCUGACCAGAGGACAGUUGUAGUGUGGUUAGGUCUGACCAGAGGACAGUUGUAGUGUGGUUAGGUCUGACCAGAGGACAGUUGUAGUGUGGUUAGGUCUGACCAGAGGACAGUGGUAGUGUGGUGAGGUCUGACCAGAGGACAGUUGUAGUGUUGGUGAGGUCUGACCAGAGGACAGUUGUAGUGUGGUUAGGUCUGACCAGAGGACAGUUGUAGUGUGGUUAGGUCUGACCAGAGGACAGUUGUAGUGUUGGUGAGGUCUGACCAGAGGACAGUUGUAGUGUGGUGAGGUCUGACCAGAGGACAGUUGUAGUGUUGGUGAGGUCUGACCAGAGGACAGUUGUAGUGUUGGUUAGGUCUGACCAGAGGACAGUUGUAGUGUGGUGAGGUCUGACCAGAGGACAGUUGUAGUGUUGGUGAGGUCUGACCAGAGGACAGUUGUAGUGUUGGUGAGGUCUGACCAGAGGACAGUUGUAGUGUUGGUGUUGUCGUCACAGUAGAGGUUGUUUGUCAUGUUUUUUUUUACAUGUUUCAUACACAUUCUUACAGUUUCUCAUUCAGGAGAAACAAACAGACAGAGGCUGGAAAACACACAGACAGACAGACACAGACAGACACAGACAGACACAGACAGACAGACACAGACAGACACAGACAGACACAGACAGACACAGACAGACAGACAGACACAGACAGACACAGACAGACACAGACAGACAGACAGACACAGACAGACACAGACAGACAGACAGACACAGACAGACACAGACAGACACAGACAGACACAGACAGACAGACACAGACAGACAGACACAGACAGACACAGACAGACACAGACAGACACAGACAGACAGACAGACACAGACAGACACAGACAGACACAGACAGACACAGACAGACACAGACAGACACAGACAGACACAGACAGACAGACACAGACAGACAGACACAGACAGACACAGACAGACACAGACAGACACAGACAGACACAGACAGACACAGACAGACAGACACAGACAGACACAGACAGACACAGACAGACAGACACAGACAGACACAGACAGACACAGACAGACAGACACAGACAGACACUGACAGACAGACAGACACUGACAGACAGACAGACACAGACAGACACAGACAGACACAG